rnacentral:tRNA from 1 species
GCACGGAUGGUUUACUGGGUCUUCUGGUACUCGUAUGGGUGCGUGGGUUCGAAUCCCACUUCGUGCA